rnacentral:rRNA from 2 species
UGGGGAAUAUUGGGCAAUGGGCGAAAGCCUGACCCAGCAACGCCGCGUGAAGGAAGAAGGCCCUCGGGUUGUAAACUUCUUUUAAGAGGGACGAAACAAAUGACGGUACCUCUUGAAUAAGCCACGGCUAACUACGUGCCAGCAGCCGCGGUAAUACGUAGGUGGCAAGCGUUAUCCGGAUUUACUGGGUGUAAAGGGCGUGUAGGCGGGAGUGCAAGUCAGAUGUGAAAAUUAUGGGCUCAACCCAUAACCUGCAUUUGAAACUGUUCUUCUUGAGUGAUGGAGAGGCAGGCGGAAUUCCGUGUGUAGCGGUGAAAUGCGUAGAUAUACGGAGGAACACCAGUGGCGAAGGCGGCCUGCUGGACAUUAACUGACGCUGAGGCGCGAAAGCGUGGGGAGCAAACAGG